AUGCGGUAUGACGGUACCCUUUCGAAUAAGAGGUUGCUAACUCUGUGCCAGCAGCAGCGGUAAUACAGAGACCUCGAGCGUUAUCCGGAUUUACUGGGCGUAAAGCGUCUGUAGGGGGUUUGUUAAGUUCCAAGUAAAAUCUUAAGGCUCAACUUUAAGUUCGCUUGGAAAACUAAUAAACUGGAGUCCAGCAGAGGUGCAUGGAACUUGCGGUGUAGGAGUGAAAUCCGUUGAUAUCGCAAGGAACACCAAAGGCGAAGGCAUUGCACUGGGCUGGUACUGACCCUGAGAGACGAAAGCGUGGGGAGCAAAACGGAUUAGAUACCCGUGUAGUCCACGCCGUAAACGAUGGAUACUAGAUGUUCGGGGAUUCGACCCCCUGGGUGUCACAGCUAACGCGUUAAGUAUCCCGCCUGGGAAGUACGGCCGCAAGGCUAAAACUCAAAGGAAUAGACGGGGAUCCGCACAAGCGGUGGAGCGUCUGGUUUAAUUUGAUAGUAAGCAAUGGACCUCACCAAGGUUUGACAUCCUAUGACAACCCUGGAAACAGGGCUUCCUUCGGGCAUAGUGACAGGUGCUGCAUGGUCGUCGUCAGUUCGUGCCGUGAGGUGUUCCGUUGAGUCGGGAAACGAACGAAACCCUCGUCGCAUGUUACAAAUUUCAUGCGAGACUGCCCGGGUCAACCGGGAGGAAGGCGGGGAUGACGUCAGAUCAGCAUGGCCCUUAUACCUUGGGCUACACAGGCGCUACAAUGGCCGGUACAAAGGGUUGCAAAACCGCGAGGUGAAGCUAAUCCCAUAAAGCCGGUCCAAGUUCGGAUUGGAGGCUGCAACUCGCCUCCAUGAAGUUGGAAUCGCUAGCAAUCGUGGAUCAGCCAUACCACGGUGAAUACGUUCCCGGAUCUUGUACUCACCGCCC
rnacentral:rRNA from 1 species